rnacentral:rRNA from 1 species
AGCGAACGCUGGCGGCAGGCCUAAUACAUGCAAGUCGAACGGAUGUAGCAAUACAUUAGUGGCGCACGGGUGCGUAACACGUGGGAACAUACCCCUUGGUAAGGAAUAAUAUCUGGAAACGGAUACUAAUACCUUAUAAUAUCUUCGGAUCAAAGAUUUAUCGCCAAGGGAUUGGCCCGCGUCUGAUUAGCUAGUUGGUGAGGUAACGGCUCACCAAGGCGACGAUCAGUAGCUGGUCUGAGAGGAUGAUCAGCCACACUGGGACUGAGACACGGCCCUGACUCCUACGGGAGGCAGCAGUAAGGAAUAUUGGACAAUGGGCGAAAGCCUGAUCCAGCCAUGCCGCGUGAGUGAAGAAGGCCUUAGGGUUGUAAAGCUCUUUCAAUGGUGGAGAUAAUGACGGUAGCCAUAGAAGAAGCCCCGGCUAAAUUCGUGCCAGCCGCCGCAGUAA